GACGAACGCUGGCGGCGUGCCUAAUACAUGCAAGUCGACCUUAGUGGCGAACGGGUGAGUAACACGUGGGUAACCUGCCCAUCAGAAGGGGAUAACACUUGGAAACAGGUGCUAAUACCGUAUACUGAUGGAUGGACCCGCGGUGCAUUAGCUAGUUGGUGAGGUAACGGCUCACCAAGGCCACGAUGCAUAGCCGACCGGAGAGGGUGACCAGCCACCCUGGAACUGGGAAACGGUCCAGACUCCUACGGGAGGCAGCAGUGGGGAAUAUUGGAAAAGGGGCGAAAGCCUAAUGCAGCCAUGCCGGGUGUAGGAAGAAGGCUUUCGGUUUGAAAAGUACUUUCAGCGGGUAGACGUUACCCGCAGAAGAAGCACCGGCUAACUCCGUGCCAGCAGCCGCGGUAAUAC
rnacentral:rRNA from 1 species